CAUGAAUCUCCAACUUUGUAAUAGAUUGGUUUUCAAGCUUAGAUUGAUAUCUAAUAAGUUUUGCACUUGCAGCAAAGCCCAUACCUGCAGUUACUGAGUUUGUUGCACAGUUACAGAUCUUGGAGCUGUUGGACAAUGCUAUUUUUACUGCUGGCUACAAGGCUGUGUUGCACAUUCAUGCUAUUGUUGAGGAAUGUGAGAUGUUGAACUGAUGCAGCAGAUUGAUCUCAAGAAAAGAAGCCCAUGAAGAAAAAACCUUUGUUUGUAAAGAACGGAGCAAUCGGUCUAUGUCGUGUUCAGGUGAAUAAUCUGAUUUGUAUCGAGAAGUUCUCUGAUUUUCCACAACUUGGGCGGUUCACUCUUCGCAGUGAAGGUAAAGAACCAUUUUGCCUUGUAAGCUUGCCAUGCUUUAAUUUAUACACU